rnacentral:lncRNA from 1 species
AAUCCCCAUUUAGGCCAUGAAAAGAACUGAGACCCGGAGAAGUUAAGCGACGUAUUUAAGGUCACACCGUUAUUGAGAGGUGGUCCCAGCACAUGGUACCAGCACUGGGGCCACCCAAGACCCCCCGAGACCACCCUGGGCAGCUGGGAUUUCAAACAGGCUGUCCCACUGUCAAAUGUUUGAUUGGAAAUCAAAGAGCGCUCAGGAGAACUCUGGGGCAGGGGGGGUAAGGGGCAGCCACAAAUGGCACCCAGGGGCCAACUUGGACCCCUUCUCUUGCCAGCAAUGCGACAAGAUGCUAACGCUCCUCCAGCCUCAGGACCUCAGGACACGUAAAUCAGUCCUGUGCCCCUGGGGUGGGGGCUGGAGGUCACCUUUUAAAAUUACUCAAAUCGAAGCCAAAUUCAUACUCCUCUGUCCAGUGGGGCCGCCUCACUCCCACGUAUGCCUGACGCAGUAACAACGCAGGCCGAGAACACAGAAAGUUCUAGAAAUGACCACAGGCACAGUGCGUGCCCUGACUCAUGUCAGCCCGACGCCCGUCUGGGUGGAGCCCUACCUGGUGCGGGCAGAGCCCCGUGGCCAGGGGCCAUCCGGAGUGCUGUGGGAGAAUAAAUGAGACGGUGAGACACGGGAGCGGGCCGGGGCUGGACUGAUCGGCCAAACUUUAUCAACAAACAUUUGCCGACUGCCUCCUCUAUGCCUGGCCCUGCCCGAGGCGACUUCAUCUCAUUCAAUACUCACAACCCCCUGGGAGACUGCUCUUCUCGUCCCUGUCCCCCCAGGAGGGACAGGGAGAGCUCAAAGGAGGGGGGGUGCCCCUGGCAGUUCCGUGGCAUGACGUCGGGGCUCAUGCUCAUUCCAGAAGCCCACCCAGGGCCUUGGAAUUGCCAGUGAGAUGCUGGUUGUGCCCUUGGCCCAGGUCGGCCUCCCGAGACGUUCCCAAAGGGACCCUUCCGUUCAGGACGUCAUUCGGGCGACAACAAGUGGAGCGAGAAAGACUGACACCUCCCUGGGGAUGGCAACCCUCCAGGGCGCUGGCAGGUUCUCGCGUGGGCGCCCCGGCUCUCCCGAGGAGCUGCAGCCAAGGCCAGCGGGCCAAGGCGCGCUCCAUCCCAGCUCUCCGCCGUCUG